AUGACAGUCUUGGGGACUAGGGUCUGAUUUAUCCACAGAACAGGUUCAGCAUGGGCUGCAGCUUCCUCUGCCCAGCCAUAGUGCACUGGAGGGUUCCCUUCUGUGGGCAAGAGGGCGGUCAGGCUGACCAGCCUGCUUGGUCCUUGGUCUCU
rnacentral:sRNA from 1 species